rnacentral:rRNA from 1 species
UACGUAGGGUGCGAGCGUUGUCCGGAAUUAUUGGGCGUAAAGAGCUCGUAGGCGGUCUGUCGCGUCGAUCGUGAAAACUUGGGGCUUAACCCUGAGCUUGCGGUCGAUACGGGCAUGACUGGAGUUCGGCAGGGGAGACUGGAAUUCCUGGUGUAGCGGUGAAAUGCGCAGAUAUCAGGAGGAACACCGGUGGCGAAGGCGGCUCACUGGCUCGAUACUGACGCUGAGGUGCGAAAGCGUGGGGAGCAAACAGG